UGGUAGAUGCACCCUGGUUGAAACCCUAGAUCAUUCGAUCUAGGGAUUUUUCUU
rfam:Lyngbya sp. PCC 8106 1099428180507, whole genome shotgun sequence.